AGAUAUUUGACCCCAAUUGUGAUUAAUUGGGAAUCCGGUGCGUGAGAGAAGGGCUUCGUCUCGUCCGACGCAACAAAUUGAUUCACUUGGUACUCCCUGAAUGCAAAGGAUUGGACAACAAUUUAGGAACAACUCAAGAAGUUUAGCCGUACGAGGAAUAAUUGUUUUGGUUAUACUUGCGUCAGAGGACUCGAAUUGGAGGUAAAAAUACAAUGAUAGCCGUUGGACUUGGCAAGCGCCAGGGUUUCUCGCUCGACGCACUGAACGACAGCCACAUUUUCGGCCGGAGUGAGCAGGGCGCUGUCCGUUACUACCUUUAUUUUCAGCAGUUUGUCAAAAGAAAAUAAAACUUGGGUCUUUUAAAAGGUACCAUCAAGCAUUUCCAUGUUUUUUCUAUUCGUGUCUAAAAUCGAUGAAUACUGAUUUCAUUAUGUACAUGUAACGAAUUACCAGAAAAUUUUGCAGAACGUGGCCCUUUUUUCCAUUCACCAGAGCCUCCCUGUUUUUACAAUUCGAACGCUACACCAGUGGGCCAGAGCUGCAGUCAUCACGCUCAACACUUGGUAUGAUACAUAUAAAUACGGAUCCAUCUCAUGCAUUUUAUACACUAUAGAACAACGUCCAAGGUCAAGAACGCGUUUUGCUCUACAACACGGCCGUUCAAGGGCGGUCUGAUUUUGGCUAGUGUACACAUCGAGCAUAAGCUGGCAACCGGGAGCAGUAGUUUUGUGGACGGAACUAUGGAACGCGCGUGUCGGCCCGGUGGAUUGGCGCAUUGCCCACUUGGCAAAGCUGUUGAUGUUGUCGGCCACAUCGUGUUCGUUCUUGCAUUGCAGCAGCACUUUUUUGUUUAUAAAUAUUCGGCUGGAAGGGGACAAGGGAACGUGGCCCCAGGAAAAACUGGCCUCCAGCAGAAAAAGAAAGCCGAAGAUCGUGUGUUGAUUCUUACUACCGUCAAAAUACGACGGAUGCCUUAUGACCACACACUUACAACGUGAUGUUAUCGUUUGGAUGUUGACAAUGUCUUGAUGAACUUACCUAGCGGGACCUUUGGCGUGCUCAAGCACUUCGAAAACAUAGUCCAACGCCUUUGCCCUAGGAUUGAGCUUGGGUACGUCGUACGCGUCACAAUUCAUUCCACAAGCAACUGUCUGUCCUUGGACGUUUUUAACUGUAAAACUGUUUUCCAUAUCAGAGUUAAUGUUAGUAGGUAAUCAACAUUUGACGGUAAAUUGCACCUUAGAUUGGCUUCCAAAAAAUGCUCCCAGACGUCGUCAAGAAGAGGCUCGUAGUCUUCGUAUUUGACGCCGGUUAGCAAUUCCAGAUCUCCUUUUUGCGAAAAACAUUCGCAUGUGAUGCUAUAGAACGGAAAUGUUAAAAUUUGAUUACAGUCGUAUAGCGUUUCCACAGGCACGAUGAAAAAGUAUACACACCGUUUGACUUCCUCUUUGACGAAUGGGUUUAACAUUUCAAUCUUGUAGUCGUUGACAGGCUGCUGCUGUGGCUGCUUCCCGCAAGUUGGC